AAUAAGUGUUUUAUGGCACUUUUUUAAAUCCAUAUCCACCUUGUGUGCAAUGUCAGGGUUGGUCUCUUGAGAUCAGCCCCAAACAUCAACCCAAUCUUAACUCUUUGUCUGAAAAAUAUUAUGAAUAAAACAAUUCAAAAUACAACUUUCAACAACGGAUCUCUUGGCUCU
rnacentral:misc_RNA from 1 species